rnacentral:rRNA from 1 species
CCUACGGGAGGCAGCAGUGAGGAAUAUUGGUCAAUGGGCUUACGCCUGAACCAGCCAAGUCGCGUGAGGGAAGACUGCCCUAUGGGUUGUAAACCUCUUUUGUCAGGGAGCAACGCCGGCUACGUGUAGCCGGACUGAGAGUACCUGAAGAAAAAGCAUCGGCUAACUCAGUGCCAGCAGCCGCGGUACUACGGAGGAUGCGAGCGUUAUCCGGAGUUAUUGGGUUAAAAGGGUGCGUAGGCGGACUGCCAAGUCAGCGGUAAAAUCUCGGGGCUCAACCUCGCUCCGCCGUUGAAACUGGCGUUCUUGAGUGGGCGAGAAGUAUGCGGAAGGCGUGGUGUAGCGGUGAAAUGCAUAGAUAUCACGCAGAACUCCGAUUGCGAAGGCAGCAUACCGGCGCCCAACUGACGCUGAAGCACGAAAGCGUGGGUAUCGAACAGGAUUAGAUACCCGGGUAGUC